rnacentral:rRNA from 1 species
GACGAACGCUGGCGGCGUGCUUAACACAUGCAAGUCGAACGGAAAGGCCCUGCUUUUGUGGGGUGCUCGAGUGGCGAACGGGUGAGUAACACGUGUGUAACCUGCCCUUGACUUUGGGAUAACUUCAGGAAACUGCGGCUAAUACCGGAUAGGAGCUCCUGCUGCGUGGUGGGGGUUGGAAAGUUUCGGCGGUUGUGGCUGGACUCGCGGCUUAUCGGCUUGUUGGGGGGGUAGUGGCUUACCAAGGCUUUGACGGGUAGCCGGCCUGAGAGGGGGACCGGCCACAUUGCGCCUGAGGUACGGCCCAGACUGCUACGGGAGGCAGCAGUGGAGAAUAUGGCACAAUGGGCGGAAGCCUGAUGCGGCAACGCCGCGUGCGGGAUGCCGGCUUUCGGGUUGUGAACCGCUUUCGCCUGUGACGAAGCGUGAGUGACGGUAAUGGGUAAAGAAGCACCGGCUAACUACGUG